rnacentral:rRNA from 1 species
UGGGGAAUUUUCCGCAAUGGGCGAAAGCCUGACGGAGCAAUGCCGCGUGGAGGUGGAAGGCCUACGGGUCGUCAACUUCUUUUCUCGGAGAAGAAACAAUGACGGUAUCUGAGGAAUAAGCAUCGGCUAACUCUGCGCCAG